ACAUGGCUUCAUCAUCUCCUCUUUCUCCCAUUCUCCUCUCUCUGUUUCUAGUAUUCAUUUGUGGGGUGUCAGCUCAAACGGCUCCCGCCCCUGCCCCCUCUGGCCCCUUGAAUUUCACUGGAAUCCUUGACAAAAAUGGCCAAUACACCUACUUCCUUCAGCUUUUGGCACAGACUCAAGUUGGGAGCCAAGUACAAACUCAACUGAAAACCACCACUGAAGGCUUUACCGUCUUUGCUCCCACAGAUAAUGCCUUCAACAACCUCAAACCUGGUACCGUCAAUAACCUGGACCCACAACAGAAAGUACAACUAGUUCUAUACCACGUUAUUCCCAAAUACUACUCCUUGAACGAUCUCCAAUUUGUUAGCAACCCCGUUAGAACCCAAGCUGGUCAGGAUUUCGGCCUCAACGUCACUGGCCUGAACAACCAGGUUAACGUCUCAAGCGGGGUUGUCGAGACUCAGAUUAACAACGCAUUAUAUCAAAAGAAACCUCUGGCAAUUUAUCAAGCGGACAAGGUGUUGUUGCCUGAAGAGUUUUUUGAAGCUAAAUCCCCAGCGGCUGCACCUUCACCGGCGACAAAGAAAUCAUCAACAGGGUCUAAAUCGAACUCAAGAGCAUCAGCAACCGCAGAUGAGCCAGCUUCUGCUGAUAAUUCAGGCUCAGCCGGAAGGAAUAUGGGGCUGAGAUUCGUUGUUGGGCUUGCAUUGGCUUGCAUGGGAUUUCUCUCAUGAGCGGAUAUAUAUGAAGUUGGUCUGCAUUUUUUACUAUAAAUUUUCGUUUUUCAAAUGGAUCGAUAAGGGUCUGAUUGGUCGUUGAACAUAUUCUUGUUAUCCACAUUAUUUGUAUUUCCAGAAUUUUUUGUUGAUUUUGCUUCUGCGCGCUG
rnacentral:lncRNA from 1 species